rnacentral:rRNA from 1 species
UAGGUAGGUGGCAAGCGUUGUCCGGAUUUACUGGGUGUAAAGGGCGUGUAGGCGGGAAAUUAAGUCAGAUGUGAAAGUCCAUGGCUCAACUGUGGGAGUGCAUCUGAAACUGAUUUUCUUGAGUACUGGAGAGGAAAGCGGAAUUCCAAGUGUAGCGGUGAAAUGCGUAGAGAUUUGGAGGAACACCAGUGGCGAAGGCGGAUUUCUGGACAGUAACUGACGCUGACGCGCGAAAGCGUGGGUAGGAAGCAGA